rnacentral:rRNA from 1 species
AUUGAACGCUGGCGGCAGGCCUAACACAUGCAAGUCGCGCGAGCGGCGGACGGGUGAGUAAUGUCUGGGGAUCUGCCUGAUGGAGGGGGAUAACUACUGGAAACGGUAGCUAAUACCGCAUACCAUCAGAUGUACCCAGAUGGGAUUAGCUGGUUGGUGGGGUAACGGCUCACCAAGGCGACGAUCCCUAGCUGGUCUGAGAGGAUGACCAGCCACACUGGAACUGAGACACGGGCCAGACUCCUACGGGAGGCAGCAGUGGGGAAUAGUGCACAAUGGGCGCAAGCCUGAUGCAGCCAUGCCGCGUGUAUGAAGAAGGCCUUCGGGUUGUAAAGUACUUUCAGAGGGGAGGCGUUACCCGCAGAAGAAGCACCGGCUAACUCCGUGCCAGCAGCCGCGGUAAUUC